AUGGAGGCAGCGGUGGUGAGCGCUCUGAUGACCAACAUCGUGGCAAAGCUCUUGGUGGUGCUGGAUAAGAGAUCCGAGCAGUUGAGUGGCCUCGCCGGUGAUAUCAAACACAUGCAAAGUGAGCUGAGCAUGAUUGCCGGUGACAUGGAGGAUCAUCUCUCGCAGAAGGCGCAGCCUAGCGUCGUCCAGAGCUCAUUCAUCACCCGGAUGCGUGAUCUGGCAUUUGACAUUGAAGAUUGCCUAGACCAGUUCCUCCCUUGUGGUGCCUGCGACGGAGAACCGAUGUCAAUCGGCGAUCAAGUGGACUUCUCCAAGGAGAUUCAGAAGCUGAAGAAGCAGUUGGAGGACGCACAUCAGCAGAAAACCAAUUACGGUGUCAAGAUCGGAAGCCAGCAGCAAGCCGCCGCCGGCCAAUUAUUGUUCCUAGCUGAUGAUGAUGCGAGCGCAUUCGAGGACCAUCAUCAUCAUGUUGGCAUCGAGAAACCCAAGCAGGAGCUUCUGGAAUUGCUAGAUGGCGAGAGCGAGAAGAUGAUAGUGAUAUCCAUCGUCGGGUUUGGCGGCUCGGGGAAGACGGCACUCGCGAAGGCAGUGUAUCACUGCCCUCAAGUUCGCCGGAAAUUCCUUCACCGUGCCUGGGUUGUGGCUUCCAAGCACAAAGACGACGCCAAGCAGGGGAUCUUGAGGGCGAUAGUGCAACAGCUUCUUCCAAGCGUAGCACCAGACGAGAUACGAACAAAACAAGCCGCCCAGCUUCAGGAACUUCUCAGAGAGCGUCUUGGAAUCGCAAGAACCAGGUGUUUAAUUGUAAUUGACGACAUCGAGAAGCUUCUGUGGGAGGCACUAAAGCCCAUCUUUUCUGCAGUGAAGUCAAUCACACUUCUACUGACCACCAACGUGCAGUCAGUAGCAAAUGCAUGCAGCUCGGGUGACGGUUAUGUUUACAAUAUGAGAAAUCUUGGCAAAGAAGAAUCCAAGACAUUGCUGAAGAAUAAAGUUUCAUUCUUCCAGGCAUCUUCACCUGACUCGGAGGAUGGUUCAGAUGCCAUCGUUCACAAAUGCUUAGGCCAUCCACUUGCUCUCGUCAGUGUGGCCAACCAUUUGCUAGACGAGAAGGAGCUCACAGGACAGUUCUGCCAAGAUACUUGCAGGCGCCUAGGUAUCCAUAUGGACGAGAACAAGAACAACAACUUCACAAAGCUCCGACAAGUUCUUAUGACCAAUUACAGUAGUCUACCAGCAGGCAGUUCUCUCAGGACAUGUUUGCUGUACACAAGUUUAUUCCCAGAUGGUCGUCCCGUCAGCAGGAAGACCCUUACGAGGCGAUGGUUGGCUGAAGGAUACAUAGAGGGUCGGCUGCAACACAGUGACCUGGAGGUUGCCGAAGAAAACUUGAAGAAACUCACUGACCGGAAUAUCAUUCUGCCUGUUGAUUCAAGCAACAAUGGAAAAGCCAAGACGUGCAAACCUUACGGCAUCAUGCACCAUUUCAUGCUGCACAGGUCCAUGUCUUCAAAUUUCAUUGCUAAAUCUUUUGGUGCCAAGAACCGAAGUAAUUAUCGUCAUCUCGUCAUCGAGAAUCAUACAAAUGGCACAGCUUCCAGCAAUGAUCAUCAUGGUGCUUCAAGUAGCCACGGCCACCUGAACAAAAUUUGUACCUAUGUGAAGAAAAAUCUGGACAAUACAGGAUCAGUCAAUAAGAUGCGGCCCCGGUCAAUAACAGUCUUUGGGAGCGGAGGAGAAGCUGUUCAUUCGAAUCUGACCGGCUGCAAGUUGCUGAGGGUGUUGGAUCUAAAAGAUUGCAAUGAUUUCGGGGACGCACAUGUAGACAACAUAUACAAGCUAUUGCACCUCAAAUAUCUGACCCUUGGAAGCUCUGUUAGCAAUCUCCCAGUUAAAAUGAAGAAGCUACAUUGUUUAGAGACACUCGACUUGAGGAAGACGAAGAUAGAAACACUUCCCCUGGAAAUCAUCAGUCUGCCCCACUUGGCACACCUUUUUGGGAAGAUUAAACUGAAGAGGGUAAGUGCCAAGAAUCGUAAGAACUUCAACUUGCAGACUCUAGCAGGAGUUGUUGUAGACAGCAACUCUGGAUUCCCGGAACUGAUGGUUCAUAUGAAAAAACUGACAAAGGUCAAGAUAUGGUGCGAGAUCACUAGCACAGAUAGCAAUCACGCCAUGCUCUCAGAGGCCAUUCACAAGUUUGCUCAGGCUGGCGCAGAUAUUUCAGUAGGGCCCCGUUCUCUAUCGCUCCAUCUGAAUAAUUCUUCCAAAGAUUUGCUUCAAGGCGACAGCAGCAAUGCAACAUCAAGCACGCCUGGUUAUCUCAGCUCACUGAAACUGCAAGGUGGCCUGAGUCAGUUCCCCCAGUUUGUCAUGUCCCUCCGUGGUCUGAAAGAGUUGUGCCUGACAUAUACUAAUAUGACGGGGGCCAAUCUUCUACCAGGCCUGCGUAAGCUACCACGCUUGGUUUGUCUGAAACUGGUGGAGGUCGAUCUCGCUGAUUUGGACAUAAAAGAUAAGGAUUUGCCAAGCCUGCAACGCCUAUGCAUUGUGGUGGAAAACCCCAAAUUCCCCACAAUUAAAGAUGGAGCUUUGCCGCGUCUUGUUUCACUCCAGUUGCUUUGUGAACAUCUAGUGGGUCUUUGUGGUGUCAUAAAAGUGGAAGGGUUUGAAGCUCUUCAGGAAAUCGCUCUCGAUUCUAUGGUCAAUCAACCAACCAUACAGCUGUGGGAAAAUGAAGCGAAGAAGCACCCCAAGAGGCCAAGGGUUUGUUUGCUCAAAAGGGUCAUCGUUCCAGCCGAAACUAGUUGGCCUUCAGUGAAAUAUGUUGCCUUGUGCCAAGACGACAGCAAUUGCUACACCGACACCUGCACUAUCGAUCACAUGGAAAUUGACCUCGAGGACCCUACUCUGCAGCCUAAUUCCUAA
rnacentral:rRNA from 1 species